rnacentral:rRNA from 1 species
UACGAAGGGGGCGAGCGUUGCUCGGAUUGACUGGGCGUAAAGGGCGCGUAGGCGGUUCGUACAGUCAGACGUGAAAUUCCUGGGCUCAACCUGGGGGCUGCGUUUGAUACGUGCGGACUUGAGUGCGGAAGAGGGUCGUGGAAUUCCCAGUGUAGAGGUGAAAUUCGUAGAUAUUGGGAAGAACACCGGUGGCGAAGGCGGCGACCUGGUCCGAUACUGACGCUGAGGCGCGAAAGCGUGGGGAGCAAACAGG